rnacentral:miRNA from 1 species
CCCAGCUCUCUUCCCCCACAAAAGAAAAGCUAGGCGCAGUGACUCUUACCUGUAGUCCCAGACACUCGGGAGGCUGAGGCAGGAGGAU